AACGAACGCUGGCGGCAGGCUUAACACAUGCAAGUCGAACGCCCCGCAAGGGGAGUGGCAGACGGGUGAGUAACACGUGGGAACGUGCCCUUCGCUUCGGGAUAGCCUCGGGAAACUGGGAGUAAUACCCGAAUACGCCGUAUUGGGAAAGAUUUAUCGGCGAAGGAUCGGCCCGCGUUGGAUUAGCUAGUUGGCGGUGUAAAUGGACCACCAAGGCUACGAUCCAUAGCUGGUCUGAGAGGACGACCAGCCACACUGGGACUGAGACACGGCCCAGACUCCUACGGAGGCAGCAGUGGGAAUCUUGGACAAUGGGCGCAAGCCUGAUCCAGCCAUGCCGCGUGAGUGAAGAAGGCCUUAGGGUUGUAAAACUCUUUCGCCGGUGAAGAUAAUGACGGUAACCGGAGAAGAAGCCCCGGCUAACUUCGUGCCAGCAGCCGCGGUAAU
rnacentral:rRNA from 1 species